AUAAAUUACUUUUUUUUUUUUUUUGAGAAGGAAGGGGGGGUGGUUUGGGGUGUGUGCACGACCUUGCUGUCUGCUAUAGUUUUAUUAAUUAUUUUAUGCAUGCACGUAUAAUAUUACAUGGUUAACGACACUAUGUCACCUUCAGCUAUCUUAUAAAUGGCUUAACACAUGACACUUGAAUUGCAACAUGUAAUUUUUUCUCAAGUUUUUUAAAGCUCCCGCUUCAAAGUGAAUCAAAUUUUAGAUUUGUCCUUUUUUUAAGAUUUAAUUUUUCAUAAAUAAAAUAUUACAUGUAAUUUUAGAAUGAUGAACAAGAUUGUAUGUUUUUAAACUUCAACAUUUUUUAUUUUUAAUAUUUUUUCUAAUUUUUAGAUACCAUAUCUCAUUAUUUGUUCUACUAAUAAUUUAAAAAAUAAAAAUAUCUACGCAACGCACAGCUAAAUGUCUAGUUACAACAAUAAUUUGACAUGUAUAGAAAGGGCUAAAUAUUCGGUUCAAAUAUAACCAAACCAAACCAAAUCAAA
rnacentral:misc_RNA from 1 species